UACAGAGGUGGCAAGCGUUGUUCGGAUUUAUUGGGCGUAAAGGGUUCGUAGGCGGACCGGAAAGUCAGAUGUGAAAUCCCACAGCUCAACUGUGGAACUGCAUUUGAAACUUCCGGACUAGAGUAUGAGAGGGGUAAAGGGAAUUCCCGGUGUAAGGGUGAAAUCUGCAGAGAUCGGGAGGAACACCAGUCGCGAAGGCGCUUUACUGGCUCAUUACUGACGCUCAGGAACGAAAGCUAGGGUAGCAAACGGG
rnacentral:rRNA from 1 species